rnacentral:lncRNA from 1 species
GGAGGUGGCACUGUGGACGACGAUUGGGGGUGGGCACGAUUUAUCAUUUUGAGUUAUGCAGUUAUGUUUUAUGAGGUGUGACAUCUGUGACACCCAUUCUUGGGGAUUCUGAGCAAUCUGGAGCCUUGAGACCAAUCAGACCUUGGUGACCAGCACAUUGUCAACAUGCCUGGGGAAGACAACAAUAGUGUGUCACAGAAUGACAAGUCAGCAGUCAUCCAUGAAGUGUCUGACUUUGACUGGAGAGUAAAGGUUAUACUGGCUUCCAGCUCAGCUGGUAUGAUGUAUGAGCCCCUCACCUCUGUGAAUUUCAAGACAGCAGGGGGUGAAGACAUUACAUUGGAGCUGAAUAAGAAACAACUGGAUGAGAUGAUUGAAGCUAUGGAUGCUGCAAUCAAGGCUGCUUCUGAACUGCAGUGAUGACAUUUAGCAUUGUGAUCAGCAUCUACAAUUCAUGUGCACAGUGUGAUAUUGUUAGUAGUACUCUUUGGCUAUCUGUGUUUGCUAAGAUACAACUAAUGUUGGCUUCUGGUUUGACUGCAUAUAAUGCAUACUGGUAUAGUUAUGGUAAUUACAUACACAAAAAAGUGUGGGAGCAUUGGGACCAUGUCCAUGACUAUGCUACAGUUUUACAAUAUUGCAUGUGUCUACUGCUGUGAUAAACUGUAGGUGUUUGUGCCAAUGAAAGGUUGAAAUAUCAAUUAUUGUUGAAA